CAGCCGCCGCGGGAAUACGAAGGGUGCAAGCGUUAAUCGGAAUUACUGGGCGUAAAGCGUGCGUAGGCGGUGAGUUAAGUCUGCUGUGAAAUCCCCGGGCUUAACCUGGGAACUGCGCUUGUGACUGCACAGCUAGAGUAUGGCAGAGGGGGGUGGAAUUCCACGUGUAGCAGUGAAAUGCGUAGAGAUCGGAAGGAACAUCUGUGGCGAAGGCGACUAUCUGGGCCAACACUGACACUGAGGCACGAAAGCGUGGGGAGCAAACAGGAUUAGAUACCCCAGUAGUCCCUGUCUCUUAUAC
rnacentral:rRNA from 1 species